rnacentral:rRNA from 1 species
UACGAAGGGGGCUAGCGUUGUUCGGAAUUACUGGGCGUAAAGCGUGCGCAGGCGGUUAUGUAAGACAGAUGUGAAAUGCCCGGGCUUAACCUGGGAACUGCAUUUGUGACUGCAUGGCUAGAGUUUGGCAGAGGGAGGUAGAAUUCCACGUGUAGCAGUGAAAUGCGUAGAGAUGUGGAGGAAUACCGAUGGCGAAGGCAGCCUCCUGGGAUAACACUGACGCUCAUGCACGAAAGCGUGGGGAGCAAACAGG